ACCUAACCCCAACCCAAACCCUACCCUAAACCCAAAUCUAACCCUAAACCCCAAAUCAUAACCUCAAACCCUACCAAGCCUAACCCUAAUCCUUUAAGAAAAGACCCACCAUCCCCCAAUUGAGUGUUGCACGACCAUAGUCUCUGUGCCUUUUCUCUCUCUCUCUCUCUCUCUCUCUCUCUCUCUCUCUCUCUCUUGCAGGGUGAGCUGAAUCGGCUUGACUGACAAAAACGAAGGAAAACCACCACCUCUAGCCAGAGAGCAGGAAAGCCAUCCCCCAGCGAGAGUAGGACGACUGUGGCAUGGUGCAGUGUUCCACCCAGCAACAAAAGACCCACCAUCCCCCAAUUGAGUGUUGGACAACCAUGGCCUCUGUGCCUCUCUCUCUCUCUCUCUCUCUCUGUCUCUCCCUCCCUUCCCCUCCUCUCUCUUUCUUGCAGGGUGAGCUGAAUCGGCUUGACUUUGACAAAAACGAAGGAAACCCACCACUCCUAAACAGAGAACAGGAAAGUCAUGCGCCGAGUGAGAGUUGGAGCAGUGGGCCUCGACGAGGCUUGUGCAGUGUUCCAAAGAGCAAGAAAAGACCCACCAUCCCCCAAGGUGAGCUGAAUCGGCUUGACUUUUACAAAAAUGGAGGAAACCCACCACCCAUAGACAGAGAGCAGGAAAGCCAUCCCCCAGCGUGAGAGUUGGAGGAGUGGGCCUCGACGAGUCUUGUGCACUGUUCCAAAGAGCAAGAUAAGACCCACCAUCCCCCAAGUGACUAUUGGUUGUACAGUGCCUCUCUUGAGAGUGAGGGGAAUCGGCUUGACUCUACAAAAAGAGGACAGACCCACCAUCCCCCAAGUGAGUGUUGGAACCACCAGUGACUCUUUGCCUUUUCUCUCUUUCUCUUUCUUCUCUCUCCUUCUUACAGGGUGAGCUGAAUCGGCUUGACUUUGACAAAAAUGGAGGAAACCCACCACCCAUAGACAGAGAGCAGGAAAGCCAUCCCCCAGCGUGAGAGUUGGAGGAGUGGGCCUUGACGAGGCUUGUGCAGUGUUCCAAAGAGCAAGAUAAGACCCACCAUCCCCCAAGGUGAGCUGAAUAGGCUUGAGUUUUACAAAAAUGGAGGAAACCCACCACCCCUAGACAGAGAGCAGGAAAGCCAUCCCUUGAGAGAGUUGGAGGAGUGGGCCUUGACGAGGCUUGUGCAGUGUUCCAAAGAGCAAGAUAAGACCCACCAUCCCCCAAGUGAGUGUUGGAGGACCAGUGGCUCGCUUUCUCUUGAGAGUGAGGGGAAUCGGCUUGACUCUACAAAAAGAGGACAGACCCACCAUCCCCCAAGGUGAGCUGAAUCGGCUUGACUUUUACAAAAAUGGAGGAAACCCACCACCCAUAGACAGAGAGCAGGAAAGCCAUCCCCCAGCGUGAGAGUUGGAGGAGUGGGCCUCGACGAGUCUUGUGCACUGUUCCAAAGAGCAAGAUAAGACCCACCAUCCCCCAAGUGAGUGUUGAUGACCAGUGGCUCGCUUUCUCUUGAGAGUGAGGGGAAUCGGCUUGACUCUACAAAAAGAGGACAGACCCACCAUCCCCCAAGUGAGUGUUGGAACCACCAGUGACUCUUUGCCUUUUCUCUCUUUCUCUUUCUUCUCUCUCCUUCUUACAGGGUGAGCUGAAUCGGCUUGACUUUGACAAAAAUGGAGGAAACCCACCACCCAUAGACAGAGAGCAGGAAAGCCAUCCCCCAGCGUGAGAGUUGGAGGAGUGGGCCUUGACGAGACUUGUGCACUGUUCCAAAGAGCAAGAUAAGACCCACCAUCCCCCAAGGUGAGCUGAAUCGGCUUGACUUUGACAAAAAUGGAGGAAACCCACCACCCAUAGACAGAGAGCAGGAAACCUAUCCCCCAGCGUGAGAGUUGGAGGAGUGGGCCUCGACGAGUCUUGUGCACUGUUCCAAAGAGCAAGAUAAGACCCACCAUCCCCCAAGUGAGUGUUGAUGACCAGUGGCUCGCUUUCUCUUGAGAGUGAGGGGAAUCGGCUUGACUCUACAAAAAGAGGACAGACCCACCAUCCCCCAAGGUGAGCUGAAUCGGCUUGACUUUGACAAAAAUGAAGGAAACCCACCACCCCUAGACAGAGAGCAGGAAAGCCAUCCCCCAGCGUGAGAGUUGGAGGAGUGGGCCUCGACGAGUCUUGUGCACUGUUCCAAAGAGCAAGAUAAGACCCACCAUCCCCCAAGUGACUAUUGGUUGUACAGUGCCUCUCUUGAGAGUGAGGGGAAUCGGCUUGACUCUCUAAAAAAGGACAGACCCACCAUCCUCCAAGUGAGUGUUGGAACGACCAGUGACUCUUUGCCUAUUCUCUCUUUCUAACCCCCCCUUUCUUACAGGGUGAGCUGAAUUGGCUUGACUUUGACAAAAAUGGAGGAAACCCACCACCCCUAGACAGAGAGCAGGAAAGCCAUCCCCCAGCGUGAGAGUUGGAGGACUGGGCCUUGACGAGGCUUGUGCAGUGUUCC